rnacentral:rRNA from 1 species
UACGUAGGUGGCGAGCGUUGUCCGGAUUUACUGGGCGUAAAGGGAGCGUAGGCGGACCUUUAAGUGAGAUGUGAAAUACUCGGGCUCAACUUGAGUGCUGCAUUUCAAACUGGAAGUCUAGAGUGCAGGAGAGGAGAAUGGAAUUCCUAGUGUAGCGGUGAAAUGCAUAGAUAUCACACAGAACACCGAUUGCGAAGGCAUCUCACGAAUCCGCUAUUGACGCUGAUGCACGAAAGCGUGGGUAUCAAACAGG